GACGAACGCUGGCGGCGUGCCUAAUACAUGCAAGUAGAACGCACAGUUUAUACCGUAGCUUGCUACACCAUAGACUGUGAGAUGCGAACGGGUGAGUAACGCGUAGGUAACCUGCCUGGUAGCGGGGGAUAACUAUUGGAAACGAUAGCUAAUACCGCAUAAUAUUAAUUAUUGCAUGAUAAUUGAUUAAAAGGUGCAAUUGCACCACUACCAGAUGGACCUGCGUUGUAUUAGCUAGUAGGUGAGGUAACGGCUCACCUAGGCGACGAUACAUAGCCGACCUGAGAGGGUGAUCGGCCACACUGGGACUGAGACACGGCCCAGACUCCUACGGGAGGCAGCAGUAGGGAAUCUUCGGCAAUGGACGAAAGUCUGACCGAGCAACGCCGCGUGAGUGAAGAAGGUUUUCGGAUCGUAA
rnacentral:rRNA from 1 species